rnacentral:tRNA from 1 species
GGCGGAGUAGCUCAGGGGUAGAGCAGGGGAUUCAUAAGCCUCGGGUCGGGGGUUCAAAUCCCUCCUCCGCUACCA